UUCCCAAUAAAACCUUGAUUUCUCAUUUGAGAUUAGUUUUUCCCCCCCUUUUAUUCUUAAUUUGUUUUUCUUGUUUUCAAACUUGUUUUGCGCUUUUGGCAUCGGAACUAAGAGUCGAAGAAUUCAGGGCAACUUGCAACGAACCAAAUGCUUCAAAAAGGAUUCUUAAUCAAAAUCGGUGCCUCAGAUAUGGUUUAAGCCACAAAUAAAUCUGGGAUAAAGGAAUUUCUUAACGGUGCCUCUUCCGGUGACCGGAAUUUCGGCAGCCAGACGCAAUCAGGUUUAUUUAAGGGGAAGAAGUAGCAAACAUUUGGAAAUGUAUGCGGACACAUUUGAUCAGAGCAAAAAUGAUAAGCAUGUAAAAACAUCUCCAGAAUCUCC